AACCUAGAUGGGAUUAUGAGGAGAGACAAUGAUGUAAUAAGUACAUGCUGUGGAGAAGCUCCCCAUUGGAGUAGGAAGUGUCUGGGAUUUACAGUCAGAGAACCUAGGUUCUGGGCUCAGUGCUGCUGCUGUGUAACCAGAGUCAAGUAGUCAGGAUUUGUGCAAUUUUCCCUGUUUUAUGUAAGGGAAAACAUGCCCAGAAAUUCAUUAAGCCAUUGGUGGCAAAGCGAGACUGGAACCAGGUUUUCUGGGCUACAUAAUCAUGUAGUUUUGGUAAUUAAAGGAGAGAAGUUUUUUUUAAAAAGUAGUAGCCAAUAUCCAUUGUGUACUUACUAUGUUCCCAGUGUAGUAGAUUGUUGCAAUAAUGGCGUAUAUUUGCCCACAUCUCCUUGUAUCCAUUCCUUGGCAUAGUCCUUGCCUGCACUGCAUCUGACCUUGGCCAUAUGAUUUGCUUUGGCAAUGGGGAAGAAUGAACUUGAUGCAGAGAGAAGCUUAAAAGUGCUUGCACAUCGGGGUUUGCCCUCUCCUUGUGAUCUCAAUUACUUUGAAACCAAUACCAUACAAAUAGCCUAGGCUAGCCUGCUGAGGUCAAGUGCUCCUAUCAUUCCAUCACCAUGGCAGCCAAUGCUGACAGCCAGAACCAUCAUUCAGACAUGUGACUGAGGCCAUGUUAGAGCAAUCAGGCCAUAGUCCACCCAUCAACUGAUGGUAAUUGCAUGAGUAAGCCCAAGAGACACCAGCAGAACUGCCUUGCAAAGCCUCAUACAAACUGUAGAUUCACAGAAUUAUGCAGCAAAAGUCAACUACACAUCCAGGUAUUAUAGUAAGAAAUCCCUAUUCAAGAUUUCAUUUAAUCUUUUCAAUGCCCCUGUGUUCUAGGAACUAUUGUUAUCCUCAUUUAUGUAUAUGAAAGUCAUGGUCUCCAGGAGGAUAUGUGACUAGGAUCACAUAGCAAGUAACAGGCAGAUGCCAUCCUAGGGAGUCUGACUCGGGGCGGGGGGCAUAUCCACACCAUGACAGUUGUCCUUUAUGAUCUGGGAGGUGCUUUAUGGCACAAGUCAUUCUCAUUUCAGGAAUGGAAGACCUUGGGUGAAGCCCUCCUUUGGUACCCAGUUACCCUAAGGGAUCCUGCAUAUGUCUACAAAAUAUGCCAUAAAUCGUUGGCUAUCCAGGAAUUAUAUUAUGUUCCCCUAUAUGAAGCCCAUUCUUUGCAAGCUUUGAGGUGUUUUUUUCUCCCUUUAUGAGGAAGUUAAAAAAUUGGCAGCAGGCUGAGGGUCUGGAGCUUGGGAGUAGGAGAUAUGAGUCAUAGGGAAAAUUGUUCAGGACAGAGAAUUGAGUCCGCACCCAUCCCAUUUCUCUUACUUUGGAUCUGCAAAUGCUGUUUCCAGUUGAUGACUUCUGGUGAGACGAGACAUUUCUGACAGUUCUUGAAGUCCUUGGAGUAGAUUUGCAUGGAGAAGGAGCAUGAGAAGUUCAUAUGAAAAGGCAGGAGAAUCUUUGCUCGUUUGGACAUCACUACAUCCCAUUCUGGAAUUUUCCCCAAGGAAAAUAAUUUUUUUAAGAGCAUUUAUUCGAACACCAGUGCUAUCAAGAAGGACAUUGAAGAGUCUGAGAAAGAGAAAUCCUCCAAACUGGAAGGGUCCCUGUGGUUGUGAGGGAAGGAAAUACAGCAAUGCAUACCAGUGUGGACCUUGGGAGCUAAGUGCAGUUGGAAACAUGAUGCUUCAGCAGAUUGUAUGGAAAGAUGCUAAAGACCAAGGACCAAUGAAAUGAUAAGUUCCAUGACAAAGGACCACACCUCACCCUGUACUUCCCUACUCCUGGCAUAUUUAAUACCAUAUUAAACUUAAUAUGAGAGGACAUA